rnacentral:rRNA from 1 species
UGGCUCAGGAUGAACGCUAGCUACAGGCUUAACACAUGCAAGUCGAGGGGCAGCAUGGUCUUAGCUUGCUAAGGCCGAUGGCGACCGGCGCACGGGUGAGUAACACGUAUCCAACCUGCCGUCUACUCUUGGACAGCCUUCUGAAAGGAAGAUUAAUACAAGAUGGCAUCAUGAGUCCACAUGUUCACAUGAUUAAAGGUAUUCCGGUAGACGAUGGGGAUGCGUUCCAUUAGAUAGUAGGCGGGGUAACGGCCCACCUAGUCUUCGAUGGAUAGGGGUUCUGAGAGGAAGGUCCCCCACAUUGGAACUGAGACACGGUCCAAACUCCUACGGGAGGCAGCAGUGAGGAAUAUUGGUCAAUGGGCGAGAGCCUGAACCAGCCAAGUAGCGUGAAGGAUGACUGCCCUAUGGGUUGUAAACUUCUUUUAUAAAGGAAUAAAGUCGGGUAUGGAUACCCGUUUGCAUGUACUUUAUGAAUAAGGAUCGGCUAACUCCGUGCCAGCAGCCGCGGUAAUACGGAGGAUCCGAGCGUUAUCCGGAUUUAUUGGGUUUAAAGGGAGCGUAGAUGGAUGUUUAAGUCAGUUGUGAAAGUUUGCGGCUCAACCGUAAAAUUGCAGUUGAUACUGGAUAUCUUGAGUGCAGUUGAGGCAGGCGGAAUUCGUGGUGUAGCGGUGAAAUGCUUAGAUAUCACGAAGAACUCCGAUUGCGAAGGCAGCCUGCUAAGCUGCAACUGACAUUGAGGCUCGAAAGUGUGGGUAUCAAACAGGAUUAGAUACCCUGGUAGUCCACACGGUAAACGAUGAAUACUCGCUGUUUGCGAUAUACAGCAAGCGGCCAAGCGAAAGCGUUAAGUAUUCCACCUGGAGAGUACGCCGGCAACGGUGAAACUCAAAGGAAUUGACGGGGGCCCGCACAAGCGGAGGAACAUGUGGUUUAAUUCGAUGAUACGCGAGGAACCUUACCCGGGCUUAAAUUGCAGAUGAAUUACGGUGAAAGCCGUAAGCCGCAAGGCAUCUGUGAAGGUGCUGCAUGGUUGUCGUCAGCUCGUGCCGUGAGGUGUCGGCUUAAGUGCCAUAACGAGCGCAACCCUUGUUGUCAGUUACUAACAGGUUCCGCUGAGGACUCUGACAAGACUGCCAUCGUAAGAUGUGAGGAAGGUGGGGAUGACGUCAAAUCAGCACGGCCCUUACGUCCGGGGCUACACACGUGUUACAAUGGGGGGUACAGAGGGCCGCUACCACGCGAGUGGAUGCCAAUCCCAAAAACCUCUCUCAGUUCGGACUGGAGUCUGCAACCCGACUCCACGAAGCUGGAUUCGCUAGUAAUCGCGCAUCAGCCACGGCGCGGUGAAUACGUUCCCGGGCCUUGUACACACCGCCCGUCAAGCCAUGGGAGCCGGGGGUACCUGAAGUGCGUAACCGCGAGGAGCGCCCUAGGGUA